rnacentral:lncRNA from 1 species
UGUGGAAAGAUGUGGUUCUUUCACCAUUCACCUUGUGGUCUUCUCUCACGUGUUGGAUAUCUUCUUUCAUGCAAAGAAGAUGAACCUUCUUGCACCACUUGCUGCCUUGUAUGACUCAUGGAGUGCUUUCUCUUACUCAUUUGUUGGUAUUCUUCAUCUUCAUUCUCUUCAUUCUCCUUGUUGUAUCUUGCUGGAAUUGAAGUCUUCAUAGUAUUGGGCUCUUCUAU